AGUGAAGGUAGUCGCUAUAUAGUUGGGAAAAAUUACAAAACAUAAAAAUUUGACAGUUAAAAAUUAAAUUCGGCUGGUUUGUUGAAAAAUUUUGACAUUUCAAGUAAUGAAUUUAUUUUGGCAAAAAAUCAAAACAUGGCACCACGAAAAAAAAAUACAAAAGAAUCAAAAGAAAAUUAUAAUAAAUUUAAAGGAUCGCGAAUUACAAAGUCUUGUUUAAAAAAAAUGCCACUUGUAACGAAAGUAAAAACAAAAAAAUUAUGUGAAAAUGUAUUUAGUCAUUGUGAAAUUCAUGAAAAUGUUUUAAAGAAAAAUUUACAAAAUAAUUCAUUGUCAAUGAAACUUGGUUUUAUCAGCAAUUUAAUACAAUUAAACAGCCAAAUUUAUACACCGCGAAAUCCACCGUUAUUUCUACUUUGGAAAAAGGGAACGACAAAAACAUUUUUUGACGAAUUUUUUCAAAAUAUAAAUAAUAAUAGAAUAUCAUCAUUGUCAAAUUUUUGUUUGUGUAGUGAAAUUAUUUCGGGUGUCAAUUUAUUUAUCACAGAAAUGAAAAGAAGUAAACCAAAAAAAAGAACAAUAAAAAAAUUAUUUAAAAAGUA